rnacentral:rRNA from 1 species
GACGAACGCUGGCGGCGUGCCUAAUACAUGCAAGUAGAACGCUGAAGGAGGAGCUUGCUUCUCUGGAUGAGUUGCGAACGGGUGAGUAACGCGUAGGUAACCUGCCUGGUAGCGGGGGAUAACUAUUGGAAACGAUAGCUAAUACCGCAUAAUAGUAGAUGUUGCAUGACAUUUGCUUAAAAGGUGCAAUUGCAUCACUACCAGAUGGACCUGCGUUGUAUUAGCUAGUUGGUGAGGUAACGGCUCACCAAGGCAACGAUACAUAGCCGACCUGAGAGGGUGAUCGGCCACACUGGGACGGAGACACGGCCCAGACUCCUACGGGAGGCAGCAGUAGGGAAUCUUCGGCAAUAGACGGAAGUCUGACCGAGCAACGCCGCGUGAGUGAAGAAGGUUUUCGGAUCGUAAAGCUCUGUUGUAAGAGAAGAACGAGUGUGAGAGUGGAAAGUUCACACUGUGACGGUAUCUUACCAGAAAGGGACGGCUAACUACGUG